AUAAAAAAAAAAAAAAAAAAAACGUUGAUCACUAAGGACGUUCUCCCAGGGCGAGGCCUUUCCAUUGCACUUCGGUUGGGCUGACCCUUGCGAUCACCCCAAAUGUGGGUGACUCGGGUGCAGCAUUUAUGGUAGUGGGGGACUGCGUACGCGCUAUCCCCUU